GAUGAACGCUGGCGGCGUGCCUAAUACAUGCAAGUCGAGCGAACAGACGAGGAGCUUGCUCCUUUGACGUUAGCGGCGGACGGGUGAGUAACACGUGGGUAACCUACCUAUAAGACUGGGAUAACUUCGGGAAACCGGAGCUAAUACCGGAUAAUAUUUCGAACCGCAUGGUUCGAUAGUGAAAGAUGGCUUUGCUAUCACUUAUAGAUGGACCUGCGCCGUAUUAGCUAGUUGGUAAGGUAACGGCUUACCAAGGCAACGAUACGUAGCCGACCUGAGAGGGGGAUCGGCCACACUGGAACUGAGACACGGUCCAGACUCCUACGGGAGGCAGCAAUAGGGAAUCUUCCGCAAUGGGCGAAAGCCUGACGGAGCAACGCCGCGUGAGUGAUGAAGGUCUUCGGAUCGUAAAACUCUGUUAUUAGGGAAGAACAAACGUGUAAGUAACUGUGCACGUCUUGACGGUACCUAAUCAGAAAGCCACGGCUAACUACGUG
rnacentral:rRNA from 1 species